AGAACGAACGCUGGCGGCAGGCUUAACACAUGCAAGUCGAACGCUCCUAGCAAUAGGGGAGUGGCGCACGGGUGAGUAACACGUGGGAACAUGCCUUUCAGUACGGGAUAACAGUUGGAAACGACUGCUAAUACCGUAUAUUCCCUCCGGGGGAAAGAUUUAUCGCUGAAAGAUUGGCCCGCGUUAGAUUAGGUAGUUGGUGGGGUAAUGGCCUACCAAGCCUACGAUCUAUAGCUGGUCUGAGAGGACGACCAGCCACACUGGAACUGAGACACGGUCCAGACUCCUACGGGAGGCAGCAGUGGGGAAUAUUGGACAAUGGGCGCAAGCCUGAUCCAGCCAUGCCGCGUGAGUGAUGAAGGCCUUAGGGUUGUAAAGCUCUUUUGUGAGGGAAGAUAAUGACGGUACCUCAAGAAUAAGCACCGGCUAACUUCGUGCCAGCAGCCG
rnacentral:rRNA from 1 species